AGGAGGUUUUAGAACUAAUUAGUAACAUCAGCUGGUCUCCUUACAUUAAAAGCACCCUGCAAACAUAUAUGGAAUUAGUCCAAGAAUUUUACUCCACUUUCAAACUUUAUAAAUGGACCAAUUUUACUUCAAAGACACUCAACAUGGUCUACUUCAGGUUGAUGGGCCAACACUUUAACUUUUUGCUCACGCAAUUCAAAGAUGCCUUAAGAUUCUCCAAUCCCUUCCUCUAGCACUUAUUAUGCGAUUUUAGUGAGGAUUUUAGCCCAACCUCUAUCUAUGAGGAGUUUUAUGAUAACCCACUAGAUAGCUACAAACCCAGCAAAUCCAAAGACCUCUAUUUAUAGGCACUAAGCAUGAAGUACAUCAAGCACUUCCUGAC
rnacentral:lncRNA from 1 species